rfam:Aedes aegypti strain Liverpool supercont1.610 genomic scaffold, whole genome shotgun sequence.
CCAUCGGCCCUUUUCAGGGCUAUCAAAUUUGUGAAAAAGAGUUAA